rnacentral:tRNA from 1 species
GCUUCUGUAGCUCAAUUGGUAGAGCAUCUCACUUGUAAUGAGACGGUUGCAGGUUCAAGUCCUGUCAGAAGCU